rnacentral:ncRNA from 1 species
ACGCUCUGGAGAAUCCCGGCAGAGGUACGCCGGGUGCCGAAGGUGCAAAGCCCGUUUGGGCUAAUCUCUCAGGCAAAAGGACAGAGGCG